rnacentral:rRNA from 1 species
UACGUAGGGGGCAAGCGUUGUCCGGAAUCAUUGGGCGUAAAGAGCGUGUAGGCGGCUCGGUAAGUCCGCUGUAAAAGUCCAGGGCUCAACCCUGGAAAGCCGGUGGAAACGUGUCGAGCUAGAGUCCGGAAGAGGCGAGUGGAAUUCCUGGUGUAGCGGUGAAAUGCGCAGAUAUCAGGAGGAACACCAAUGGCGAAGGCAGCUCGCUGGGACGGUACUGACGCUGAGACGCGAAAGCGUGGGGAGCAAACAGG